UCUUAUAGGCUUUUGCAAAAA
rnacentral:piRNA from 1 species